GCCGCGGUAAUACGUAUGUCACAAGCGUUAUCCGGAUUUAUGGGGCGUAAAGCGCGUCUAGGUGGUUAUGUAAGUCUGAUGUGAAAAUGCAGGGCUCAACUCUGUAUUGCGUUGGAAACUGCAUGACUAGAGUACUGGAGAGGUAAGCGGAACUACAAGUGUAGAGGUGAAAUUCGUAGAUAUUUGUAGGAAUGCCGAUGGGGAAGCCAGCUUACUGGACAGAUACUGACGCUAAAGCGCGAAAGCGUGGGUAGCAAACAGG
rnacentral:rRNA from 1 species